GACGAACGCUGGCGGCGUGCUUAACACAUGCAAGUCGAACGGAAAGGCCCUGCUUUUGUGGGGCGCUCGAGUGGCGAACGGGUGAGUAACACGUGAGUAACCUGCCCUUGACUUUGGGAUAACUUCAGGAAACUGCGGCUAAUACCGGAUAGGAGCUCCUGCUGCAUGGUGGGGGUUGGAAAGUUUCGGCGGUUGGGGAUGGACUGGCGGCUUAUCAGCUUGUUGGUGGGGUAGUGGCUUACCAAGGCUUUGACGGAUAGCCGGCCUGGGAGGGUGACCGGCCACAUGGGGCCUGCGAUACGGCCCAGUAUGCUACGGGAGGCAGCAGGGGGGAAUAUUGCAGAAUGGGCGGAAGUCUGAUGCAGCAACGCCGCGUGCGGGAUGCCGGCCUUCGGGUGGUAAACCGCUUUGGCAGGUGAUGAAGCGGGAGUGACGGUAAUGGGUAAAGAAGCACCGGCUAACUACGUG
rnacentral:rRNA from 1 species